rnacentral:rRNA from 1 species
UACGGAGGGUCCAAGCGUUAUCCGGAUUUAUUGGGUUUAAAGGGUGCGUAGGCGGCCAUUUAAGUCAGCGGUGAAAUUUUGCAGCUUAACUGUAACAGUGCCGUUGAUACUGUUUGGCUAGGAUUUGGUUGUAGUGUGCGGAAUGUGUGGUGUAGCGGUGAAAUGCUUAGAUAUCACACAGAACACCGAUUGCGAAGGCAGCACACUAAGUCAUUAUUGACGCUGAGGCACGAAAGUGUGGGGAGUCAAACAGGAUUAGAUACCCGGGUA